GUAAAUAGAACUUGUUCUUGGAAGUCACACUUUCAGUAUACCAUCAUAGUAUAGAGAUCAUUAUUAUGGCUCAACCAUUGAUCAAGGCAUUUGAGCCACUCUCGACUCUUGGCAUAUAAGCAAGAAUCUAAUAAAAAACUUACCUUAUGAAAUCCAUCAUUCUUGCAAUUAUAGAAAUUUAAUGAUACAAAAGAACAUCAAUGACAAAUUUACAGCUUAUUUGCAAAAGAGUUGGGGCACAUAAUUUACAAAUUUCACCUAGAUUUGAUGAAAUGAACAAAAAUUCCUACUUACACAACGUGAAAUAUAUUACCACCAAGAUUUGAUUAGUCAAAGCACACAUAUAAUGAUCACCAUGAUCCAAUAACAUAUAACCAGCUUCAAACCAGAACUAAUUACCAAAAAUUGAUAUAACUACUAAGAACCUUGGAAAAACUCCAGCAAGCCAUUAACCUCAUGCAAUAAGUAAUAAAAAAAUGCAACAAAUAAUUCCUACAAAAUUAGUUAUGGAAAAACCUCAUCUAUAGAUAUAAGGAG
rnacentral:lncRNA from 1 species